rnacentral:lncRNA from 1 species
UGGGGGGGAGGCCCAGCCCGGGGCUGGUGCUAAUUGGCUGGAAGCCAGAACUCCCCCCACUCCAGGGCCGCCGCUCCGGACGCGGAUUGGUAGACGCCGUGGAAGGGGCUGUUCUGUCUCCGCAGAUGCAUGGGAGAAGGAGGGGUUGGGGGGGUGCGGAGGAGAAGGAGGGAAAAGGUGGUGGGCGGCGCAGGGGAUUCUAAUCCCGCCCUCGCCCUAGCGCUGGGUUCGGGGCUCUGGGAGCAGGUGAAGAGGCCUUGCGUCUUUCCUGGCUCGGGGAGCUGGCUCUGGCCAGAGAUAGCCAUGAUACGCGUCCGCGGCUAGGCAUGGGCCUACUUCCUCGCGCGCGCGGACGCACACACACACACACACACACACACACACACCUGCCAGUUUGAGAUCAUUCUUAGCCAGCUUGGUUGGGUGGGGGAAGGAGAGAUGAGGAUACGCGUUUUAAUCGGAGGUUGAGGAAGAGCCCUCGUUUUCACUCGGACACGGAAGGAAAGAAGAAAAGUAAUUCCUUAGCAAAUGAGAUACUUGCCAGGGUCACGACAUGCUUCACAGUGUUUGGGACAACUGAGCUCAGCAUACAUCUUUUAUCAUCUUCCUUACUUUCCCUACACACACACACACACAAAUAUUGAUAGCCUGAAAGAAUUAGAACUUUAUUUGCCAAAGUGUUUCAUUUUUAAGUCUAUAUCAGAACUGCAUUUAAAAGGUACUGUCUUAUUCUUUUAUUUUUUGCUUAGGCAAUCAGGGUUAAGUGACUUGCCCAGGGUCACACAGCUAGUAAGUGUCAAGUGUCUGAGGCCGGAUUUGAACUCAGGUCCUCCUGACUCCAAGGCCGGAGCCCUAUGAACUUCGCCACCUAGGUGCCCCCUCUCUUAUUCUUUUAAAAGAGGAAUAAUUCCCACAUCCUUUGUCAUUAUUUCCACCCCCCAAAUUAAAAUAAGCCAAACCUGUGGCAGAGUUGAGCAGAGACGGAGAUUUACUGGCACUGAAUUCUGUGACCUCUCCACCAGAAUGCUAACACCUAAAGUGGUAUGAAGAUUGUUAUUUAUAGCUAGAAAAUUCCAUUCUGUUCACCAAUAGUGUAGCCUGAGUGCAUUCAAAGGUUAGAACUAUGUGCCUUUUCUCUCUGAGAGAAACUAUAUCUGAGGAAAAAAAAACUUUAAAAAACAGUUUUUGAAAGCCAGC